rnacentral:tRNA from 2 species
GCGCCCAUCGUUCAACGGAUAGGACACGGGAUUGCGGAUCCCGUAAUCGAGGUUCGAUUCCUCGUGGGCGCACCA